rnacentral:tRNA from 1 species
GGGGAUUUAGCUCAGCGGCAUAAGCACCUGCCUUGCAAGCAGGCAGUCGUGAGUUAAGUCCCUG